rnacentral:rRNA from 1 species
UACAGAGACUGCAAGCGUUAUUCGGAUUUAUUGGGCGUAAAGGGCGCGUAGGCGGUCACGCACGUCCGUUGUGAAAUCGCUCGGCUCAACUGGGCGGGGUCAGCGGAUACGGCGUGGCUGGAGCAAGCUAGGGGGCAAUGGAAUUCCCGGUGUAGUGGUGGAAUGCGUAGAUAUCGGGAGGAACACCAGUGGCGAAGGCGGUUGCCUGGAGCUUUGCUGACGCUGAUGCGCGAAAGCGUGGGGAGCGAUCCGG